CCUACGGGAGACAGCAGUGGGGAAUAUUGGGCAAUGGGCGCAAGCCUGACGCAGCAACGCCGCGUGAAGGAAGAAGGCUUUCGGGUUGUAAACUUCUUUUAAGAGGGAAGAGCAAAGACGGUACCUCUUGAAUAAGCCACGGCUAACUAUGUGCCAGCAGCCGCGGUAAUACGUAGGUGGCAAGCGUUGUUCGGAUUUACUGGGUGCAAGGGGCGCGUAGCCGGGGUGACAAGUCAGAUGUGAAAUUCCGGGGCUCAACCCCGGACCUGAAUUUGAAACUGGUGGGCUAGAGUAUCGUAGAGACGGGGAGAAUUCCUAGUGUAGCGGUGAAUGGCGUAGAGAUGAGGAGGAACACCGGUGGCGAAGGCAGCCUCUUGG
rnacentral:rRNA from 1 species